AACGCUGGCGGCAUGCCUCAUACAUGCAAGUCGAACGAGAAGCUAGACUUCGGUUUAGUGGACAGUGGCGAACGGGUGCGUAACGCGUGGGAAAUUACCAUAGAGUGGGGGACAACAGUUGGAAACGACUGCUAAUACCGCAUACGCCCUUCGGGGGAAAGUUUUAUAUGCUCUGUGAUAUGCCCGCGUUAGAUUAGCUAGGUGGUAAGGUAAGAGCUUACCAAGGCGACGAUCUAUAGCUGGUUUGAGAGGACGAUCAGCCACACUGGGACUGAGACACGGCCCAGACUCCUGCGGGAGGCAGCAGUAGGGAAUAUUGGACAAUGGGGCAACCCUGAUCCAGCAAUGCCGCGUGUGUGAAGAAGGCCUUCGGGUUGUAAAACACUUUCAACUGAGAUGAUGAUGACAGUAUCAGUAGAAGAAGCUCCGGCUAACU
rnacentral:rRNA from 1 species